GCUUGCUGGAUCAUAUGGUUAAUUCUAUUUAUAGUUUUCUGAGGAACCUCCAUUCUGUUUUCCACAGUGGCUUUACUAAUCUACAUACAUACCACAAUUUUUUUUUUCUUUCUUGGUACCAGUUCUAACUGGGGAAUGGCAGCCACCAUUCUACUAUCUAUGAAUGACUACUUUAGGGGUAUGGCAUGUAAGUGGUACAAAAUCUUAACAGUAUUUGUCAUUUUGUGACUGAUUUUUUUCACUUAACAUAAUAUCCUCAGGGUUUAUCCAAGCAGAAUCACCUUCCUUUUUUAAGACUGAAUAACAUGCCAUUAUAUGUAUAUACCACAUUUGCUCAUCAUUCUCUGUUGAGAGGUACUUGGGUUGUUUCUACUUUUUAGCUUCUGUGAAUAAUGCUACUAUGAACAUGGAUGUACUGAUGUCACUUCAACUUCCUGCUAUAUCAGUCAACCAACUGUUCACAGAGAUUCCAAUUUUUCCACAUUCUCACCAACACCUUUCGUGUGUUUAUAGUAGCCAUCCUAAUGGGUAUGAACUGGUAUCUUGUUUGACCCAGGGCACUUAACCCCUGAGCCUCAUUCCCAGCCCUAUUGUUAUAUUUUAUUUAGAGACAGGAUCUCCCUGAGUUGCUUUAGGGCCUUACUAAGUGCCACAGUCUGGCUGGGCACAAAUCACGAGCCACUCAAGCAGGAACAAACUUUAUUUCCGAACUCCCACGAAAGCCACCCACGCGGCCCUCCUAGGCACACCACACACCAACCAGAAGUCCCUCCACCGGAACUUCACCAACCAGUG
rnacentral:lncRNA from 1 species